rnacentral:snRNA from 1 species
GUGCUUGCUUCAGCAGUACAUAUACUAAAAUUGGAACAAUACAGAGAAGAUAAGCAUGGCCCUGCUCAAGGAUGACAAAUUUGUGAAGCAUUCCAUAUUUUU